rnacentral:rRNA from 1 species
AACGUAGGGUGCAAGCGUUGUCCGGAAUUACUGGGUGUAAAGGGAGCGCAGGCGGAGAGACAAGUUGGGAGUGAAAACUAUGGGCUCAACCCAUAAACUGCUUUCAAAACUGUUUUUCUUGAGUGGUGUAGAGGCAGGCGGAAUUCCCGGUGUAGCGGUGGAAUGCGUAGAUAUCGGGAGGAACACCAGUGGCGAAGGCGGCCUGCUGGGCACUAACUGACGCUGAGGCUCGAAAGCGUGGGGAGCAA